CUUAAAUUGGAUUCCACAAGUGUAUUUCUUAUGAAAUGCUUUAUGAGAUUGUUCAUCGUCUUCAUCCCCACGAGCAUAUUUGAUUCCACAGGUGGAACAAAAAUGGAGCAAAAAAUCAGACUGACCAAAAAGUAAAUGACGAAUCGUCUGGAAUUGGAAUUUUUGUCUCCAAGUCGACGCAUUGUGGACUUGUCACAUUCCUUAGAAUUAAACGAAAAGGAUUUCAUCAAUAACAGCCAAUUACAAUUUCUGGGGAGGAAGAGGAAGAAGAAGAAGAAGAAGAAGAAGAAGAAGAAGAAGAAUGUGGGGUACCUGCGCUUAUAGGUGUUGAUAUAUUGGUGCUCUGCCUUUUCCCAGAUCUUUAAUGUUCCAUAGUCGCUGUCGUCAGCGUUUGAAUUCAAGGGUUCCGGCGACCUGUGUGAUGAAAUCGAAGAAGGGCGUUUGAAGAAGGUGCUGAUUUUAGAUUGCAUGAUUGGAAAGAUUUCAAUUGCAAGUUCAGGACAAGAAGGUUCAUUCUGCA